AUCCAAUUAGACACACUUAUUGGAUGCCAUGUUUAUCUGAUAAUCAAAGUGGUGGUGUGGACAGAGAAGAUAUACAAUGUUUAGGUCAGAUUAGUCCUCACUUGCUACACUACCUCAGAACUGCCGUCAAAGUGAACCAGCACAGGACUCUCAGAUGACCUGCUACACAGCUUUGUUUUUAAAUUUACAAGGCAAAAGAACAUGGAGAACAAAGACAGCAGGAUGACAACAGAAUGGAACUCAACAAUGGAAAACAGAAAGCAAUCAGAUAGCAAACAAACAAGAACUGACAUGAAAACCCAAAAAGAAACUUUAAAAAGACAAAGGCAACUGAUAUGUCAAGCAAUGGAGGAGAUCGAACAACUCUGGAGACAGACAGAAAGAAAGACAAAUGAAAUUGACUUCUUAAAGACAAAGACAGAGGGGCAACAGGAAGACAUUGAGAGACUGACAUCUGAAAAAAAUAAACAUCACCUACUAUUAAAGCAAUUUAACUUCCAAAUAAAAAAUAUAACUGAGAAACUCAAACAAAGCAAAAAUUCAGUUGCUAAGGAAAAAACAAACUUUCUGAAAACGUGGACUAAAAUAUAUCAAGAAAAGGAUACUCUGGACAGAAGACGUCAAUACUUCAUCAACGAGCGACACAAGCUAGACACUAUAAAAGCUAGUAAGACAGAAUCACCAAUAAGGGAGGAACCCAAAGAGCCCCUUAAUGAGCAGGUAAAGCGGGAACUGGAUAUACUGGAGAAUGCAACUGAGAAAAACAGGGAAAUAAUGCUUGAAGUAAAGAAAGUUAAAGAAAAAAUGGAGAAAACUAAAGCAAACAUACAGCAAGCAUUAAAAAGAAAUAAAAAGGACAUUUCAAAAAACAGUGAACAAAUUAACCACAUUAAACAUAUUAUGUAUGUAAAGAUCAACAUGGUCAAGCACAGAUGGGCAAGCAUUAUAAAACAGGCUGAAAUGAAGAAAAUUCACAUGUAUAAAGAAGGACAGAGAGAAAGAAACGAUGGAAAAGCCACAUUUGACACAGUGAAGAGAAAACUGUGUAGAAUCCAGGAAGAGAUGGAGAAACUUUGGGAUGUGCUGGAAGACAGUGAACAACAACUGGAAGUGACUCAAAGUGCAAAGCAGCAGCUAAUGGCAGAGAACAAUCACAUGAACAUCAAGAUGAAUAUUGAUUAUCAAAAGCAACAAGAUUCAGAUCUAAGCUUUAAAGUGACACACAUCCAGCCUGAAAGAGAUGAUUUAAAGAGAGUUGAAAUGAAACUAAAGACAGGAAGGGAAAAUGUAGAAAAAGACAAACCAAAUACUUACAUGCAGAAUUUGAUCUCUGAGGAAGAAGAAAACAAUGAAGUGCUUUGUAACAAGGGUGAAGAAACAAAGCAGAGCAUGAGGGACUUUACAGAAGUAAAGGCUCAAACGAAAUGGACAAAUUUUCGAGAAAAGCAAAAAAGAAGGGAGCUUGAGCGUUUGCUGGAGAAGAUAAGGAAAGAGAGGGAUGAGUUAGAAAUCAUGAAGACAAAAAUACAGCGACAAAAGGAAAGGGUUGAACAAAAACUGGAAAAUACUGUCACUGAGAUAAAAGGUAAAAUAGAAAAAACUGGUGCAGAAAUGAACAACACUUGGGAGAAAAUGCAGAGAACCCAAAGGGAGAUUAGUAAGAACCAGGAAGAAGCCAAGAACUAUAUGGAAAAACUGACAUCCAUGAAAACUUGGGUCAACAAAUGGAUAUUGGCACAAUCUACAAUCAAACAUACUUUUUCAGUGAACGCAUCCAAACUUCAAGAAUCACAGUAUGAAAUAGACACAGACUCCCUUGAGGAUCAAACAUCAGCAAUUCCAAAGGACAAAAAAGGGAAAAAAAGUAUAACAGAUACAACAUCAUUACAAAAUUCUGUAACAUUAGAUGAUCAGCAUCAAAAUAAAAAAAUAAAAGAACAACAGAAGGAGCAUUUUGAAUCCAAAUAUUGUUUUGCAGAAGGCAAAAAUGGGGAGCAGGACUUUUGCUUACAGAUGCGAACUGAAAUUCAUGAAGAAGUAGUGCAUGAUAAAACUGAAUUACUGAUAAUUGUAAGAGAAAGGGAAGAAGUGGAAAAACUGAUACGUAACCUAAAGCAGCAAGAGGGGGAAAUAAAGGAACAAAUAAAGUACACUAUUGAUAACAUGAACGAAAAAACUCAAGAUAUAAAAAGGCUCAUUUUGGAAAUAAAUGACCUGCAGAGGGCAGACACUGUAAUUACAGUCGGGGAAACUGAAAAUGCCCAGGAAGUAUUAACUAAGCUGUUGGAAGAAACUGAACAGAGAAAGAUUUUGAUGCUGAACACCAAAGUUUUCAAAAAUGAAAUAAUAAAAUAUGAAGUACAAGAGGGGGACGAUGCCAAAAAAAUAAAACAAGAGUCUAGCUUGAUAAGGCUUAAUGUUAACAAGCAAAAACUAAUUCAGAAAUCAGGAGAAGAGAUGAAAAAACAUGUUGAACACACCGAUGAAGAUAAAAAGGACAGAGGAGCCGAUAUACAAAGACUCAGGGCAGAGAUUUACAAAACACAAGAGAUUAUAAGAACGCUAAGAGGAGGACUUGAGAACCUAGCGGAAAAAAAUAACAUGGACAAAUAUCAACAGAAUGAAGGCAGUGAAAUUGAAGGAUUGCUAAAAGACAUCAAACAGUUUCAAGAGUUUUUGGAAAUUGUAAAAACCAAAAUAAAGCAAAGUGAAGUACAUAUGACAGAAGAAAUGAGCAAUAUAAAAUCAAUGAAAACUGCAGUGAAAAAGAAGAGAAGAGAAUUAGAUCAAAGAUUAGAAAAUACUUUGAAAGAGAGAGAUGGAUUAGACAUCUUUAAAAUAAAAAUGCAGAGGCAAACUGAACUGAUUCGGCAGAAUUUAGAAAAAAUGGCAAAAGUUAAGAGCACAGUCGAGAAAAUAGCUGCUAAGACCAGAAGGAAAAUUGAAGAGAUAGAAAUUAGUAUGAAGGAGACUGAAAUAAAACUAAGACAGUUUAAAGACCUUGACUGCAUUAACCUUAACUUGACAAAAGGCGCAAAACCAGACAUGGAACAUGGUAGUACACCUAAGCAAAGAACUGCUCUUGAAAUUUUCAAGACUGAAAUUAAGAAGACAAUGGACAAUAAAAGAGAUAAACUGACAAAAAACAAAAUGGACAAAGAAACUGAGGGAACAGAAAGCCUCAAACAAGUUAAUGAGAAACUGGAGGAGGUAAAACUUUCAUUAGACAGUCUGGGUCAAAAAAAUAAAAAAUCAGUUAGUGAGAAUGUAAAACAAAUAAUCAAGAGAGAAGAGACUGAGAUGACAGAACAGAUCCAAACAGCGAUAAAGAAUGAGAAAAUGGUUAAACAGCUAACUGAAACAGAAAUACAGGAGGAACAGGUGAACCAUUUGAGGGAGAAAACUGAAAGAAAAGAACAGGAGCUUGAUGACGGAGUACACAUGACCAAAAGGCAAAUAAGAGAAAUGGAGCUGCUGCAAUCAGAAUUGAAAAUAAAGGUAAAAGAAUUUGAGCGUUUUUUUAGAAAAAGUAUGAGAAAAAAGGAGGAAAUUGAAAUAAUGUGGUAUGAAAUACAACAAGAAAAGGAAGCAUUGAGGACCGAGAUCAAAAAGAAAAGAAGAGAAUUAGACCAAAGACUGGAGAUGACUAUGAGAAAAAGGGAUGAACUAGAAGUGUUAAGGGUAAAAUUGAAACGACAGAUGGAAGAGCUGGCUGAGGAGAAGCAGAGAGACCAUAAUCUGUUCAUCCAUCUACCCAAUGAACAUGAAAAACAUUUUGGAAGGAAAGAUGUGAAAAUGUUAAUGGAGAAAAUCAAAAACCACAGCUUAAAAGUUUCUCAGUAUACUAUUUACAUCCAAGACAUAAGAGACAAGUUUAAUUUACACAUGGGAACAAUUAGGACAGAGAUGAAAAUUCUAGAAAAUGUGAAUGCUCAUUUAGAAAAGGACAAAAAAGGAUUCAGAGAAGUUGAGGCUGAAAAUAAGAAUAUAACAAACAAAAUGAAGAGGUUAAAAUAUCAGCUUAAUAUACUCUUUGGAAGAGUUACCAUACAAGACACUGCAGAGAUGGAUGAAACAAUCAACAUCUGGGAAAAAAUCCAAAGAGAAAAACAGAAGCUUGAUAUGAGACUAGAAAAUAUUAAAAGGGAAAGACAAGAGAUAGAAGUUCUGGUGGUUGAGCUGGAGAUGAAGAAAAGAGAAAACCAACGUGUAAUCAAAAGAAGCAUUCAAAAAGAACAGAAGAUAAAAAGAAUAUGGGCUACUUUCAAAGAAGAAAGAACUGCCCUCGUGAGAGAAACAAAGCAGAAAAAGGAGGUUGAACAACGACGAGAGGAGAUCAUCAAACAUCAAGGUGAACAAGAAAUAAAGCAGAAGUUGCAAAAAGAAAAGAAAGGGAUGCAAAGUGAAAUUGAAGACAUGAGGAUGAAAGAAAAAAGGAAACAAAUUCAAAAACAAUGGGAACUAAUCAAGAAAUACUUAGGGGAAUAUAAAAAGGUAAUUAAAAACACUCAAUUCAUCAUUGGAAUAAUUCAGAAUGAAAAUAAACACAUGCAAGACCAAAAAAAUUUCUACAUGACCAAAAGGAAAGAAACACUGAAUAUUAAAAGUGAAUUAAAUAGGCAAAAGGAAAUUAUACGGUGUGCAUUAAAAAACAUACAACAAGAGCCAAAACAUGGGGAACAAGUGGAGACAAAAAUCAAGACGGAGCAAGGAAAGCAUGAAAAUGAAAGGGAAAAAAUAUAUGAGAUAGAAAAAGAUGCCUUGGAUGACUUAAGUGCAGACGAGAGUCAAGACAAAGAGGAUCUUGAAAGAGUGAAAGAGUUGUUGAAAAAGAACCAGAAACUUGACAUGAGAGGCUGUAAAAUCAAAAAAGAAAUAGACAUAUUAAAACAAAAAAAUGAAAACAUAAAAGAGGAAAGGAAAACAACUGAAAUAAAAGAAACUGAAAAAAAAAUGAAACUGAAAGAUUUCAAUAAAAUGUUUUGGGGCAAACAAAAAGAAAAACACAGUACUGAGUAUCUGACUGUAAAGAAAGAAUAUAAAAGAGAAACGACUAAGGAUGGUAUAAAAAGGGUGAUCUUACAAGACACAAAACAAGACUUGAUAAAAAAAGAGAUAAAAAAAUGUAACCAGGAAAAAGAAAAAGUCAUCCAGAUGAAAACUAGACGUGAGAAUAGAAAAGAACUGUUGUUGAAGGUAAGGAGAAACAUCAAAGAUGAAGAGAAAGAGAUGGAAAUGAGAGGAGACCAAGUCAUGGAUGAAAUGAAAUCGCUAGAGAUUCUGAAAGUGAAACUUCAACAACUGAAGGGGGAUAUAAAAGCCAAAAUGGAGAGAUUACUACAAAAUGUUGACAACAGGUCAAGGCUGCAAACAGUGUUGGAAGAAAAACUUCCAACCCAAGACGAACUGAAAGAAAGCAUUCGCUGUUUCACUGAAAUGUUAGAGAGAGAAAAGGAAGGUGUGAGAAGUAUCCUUUCAGACAUGGUCACCAAGAGAGAAUGCACAGAAAAUGAAUGGAAGCAGCAGUUUGAACUGGACAAACGAGAGCUUGAUAAAGUGAAAGAAGAUCUGAGACACGACAGAGAAGAUCUGGAGAGAGAAAGUGAGGUGCUGAAUAAAGAGAAAAUGGAUUUGAAGGUGUUGAUGUCUGACAUCAUGAAACAAUUUGAAAUAUUGGAAGAAAAGAAACAAAAUAUAAAAGAAGAACGAGACUCAAUGGAAACCAUAAAGCUUGAACUGCUCAAUAAGAUGGAACAUGUAAACAGGCUGUUACAUGAGACAAAUGACGAAAAAGCCAAGAUUAAAAAUUGUAUCCUUCAGGUUCAAAUGGAAAAAGAAAGACUUGAAGACAUUUUAAGCAAGAUUUUCUUAACACAUAAUGAAGAAAAAGUCAAGGAAUAUGGCCUCAGAAGACAAACAAAAGAAGUGGAAAUCAUGAAAAAGGAAUUACAGAGUGAAAGAGCAAAAGUGGAGAGUCUGAUGAGGAAUCUGAAGAAGAAGCAAGAAGAGCUUGAACGUGCAAAGGAAAUCAUGAGUGGAGAAAAAGAAGAGAUGAAAGAGAUGAAGACUGACAUUGCCAAAGAACGAGAACUGUUGUUGAAGGAAAGGAGAAAUAUGGAAGAAGAGCGGUCUGAGAUGGAAAUGAGAGGAGACCAAGUCAUGGAUGAAAUGAAAUUGCUAGAGAUUCUGAAAGUGAAACUUCAACAACUGAAGGAGGAUAUAAAAGCCAAAAUGGAGAGAUUACUACAAAAUGUUGACAACAGGUCAAGGCUGCAAACAGUGUUGGAAGAAAAACUUCCAACCCAAGACGAACUGAAAGAAAGCAUUCGCUGUUUCACUGAAAUGUUAGAGAGAGAAAAGGAAGGUGUGAGAAGUAUCCUUUCAGAAAUGGUCACCAAGAGAGAAAGCACAGAAAAUGAAUGGAAGCAGCAGUUUGAACUGGACAAACGAGAACUUGAUAAAGUGAAAGAAGAUCUGAGACAUGACAGAGAAGAUCUGGAGAGAGAAAGUGAGGUGUUGAAUAAAGAGAAAAUGGAUUUGAAGGUGUUGAUGUCUGACAUCAUGAAACAAUUUGAAAUAUUGGAAGAAAAGAAACAAAAUAUAAAAGAAGAACGAGACUCAAUGGAAACCAUAAAGCUUGAACUGCUCAAUAAGAUGGAACAUGUAAACAGGCUGUUACAUGAGACAAAUGACGAAAAAGCCAAGAUUAAAAAUUGUAUCCUUCAGGUUCAAACGGAAAAAGAAAGACUUGAAGACAUUUUAAGCAAGAUUUUCUUAACACAUAAUGAAGAAAAAGUCAAGGAAGAUGGCCUCAGAAGACAAACAAAAGAAGUGGAAAUCAUGAAAAAGGAAUUACAGAGUGAAAGAGCAAAAGUGGAGAGUCUGAUGAGGAAUCUGAAGAAGAAGCAAGAAGAGCUUGAACGUGCAAAGGGAAUCAUGAGUGAAGAAAAAGAAGAGAUGAAAGAGAUGAAGACUGACAUUGCCAAAGAACGAGAACUGUUGUUGAAAGAAAGGAGAAAUAUGGAAGAAGAGCGGUCUGAGAUGGAAAUGAGAGGAGACCAAGUCAUGGAUGAAAUGAAAUUGCUAGAGAUUCUGAAAGUGAAACUUCAACAACUGAAGGAGGAUAUAAAAGCCAAAAUGGAGAGAUUACUACAAAAUGUUGACAACAGGUCAAGGCUGCAAACAGUGUUGGAAGAAAAACUUCCAACCCAAGACGAACUGAAAGAAAGCAUUCGCUGUUUCACUGAAAUGUUAGAGAGAGAAAAGGAAGGUGUGAGAAGUAUCCUUUCAGAAAUGGUCACCAAGAGAGAAUGCACAGAAAAUGAAUGGAAGCAGCAGUUUGAACUGGACAAACGAGAGCUUGAUAAAGUGUGAGAAGUAUCCUUUCAGAAAUGGUCACCAAGAGAGAAUGCACAGAAAAUGAAUGGAAGCAGCAGUUUGAACUGGACAAACGAGAGCUUGAUAAAGUGAAAGAAGAUCUGAGACACGACAGAGAAGAUCUGGAGAGAGAAAGUGAGGUGCUGAAUAAAGAGAAAAUGGAUUUGAAGAACGAGACUCAAUGGAAACCAUAAAGCUUGAACUGCUCAAUAAGAUGGAACAUGUAAACAGGCUGUUACAUGAGACAAAUGACGAAAAAGCCAAGAUUAAAAAUUGUAUCCUUCAGGUUCAAACGGAAAAAGAAAGACUUGAAGACAUUUUAAGCAAGAUUUUCUUAACACAUAAUGAAGAAAAAGUCAAGGAAGAUGACCUCAGAAGACAAACAAAAGAAGUGGAAAUCAUGAAAAAGGAAUUACAGAGUGAAAGAGCAAAAGUGGAGAGUCUGAUGAGGAAUCUGAAGAAGAAGCAAGAAGAGCUUGAACGUGCAAAGGGAAUCAUGAGUGAAGAAAAAGAAGAGAUGAAAGAGAUGAAGACUGACAUUGCCAAAGAACGAGAACUGUUGUUGAAGGAAAGGAGAAAUAUGGAAGAAGAGCGGUCUGAGAUGGAAAUGAGAGGAGACCAAGUCAUGGAUGAAAUGAAAUUGCUAGAGAUUCUGAAAGUGAAACUUCAACAACUGAAGGAGGAUAUAAAAGCCAAAAUGGAGAGAUUACUACAAAAUGUUGACAACAGGUCAAGGCUGCAAACAGUGUUGGAAGAAAAACUUCCAACCCAAGACGAACUGAAAGAAAGCAUUCGCUGUUUCACUGAAAUGUUAGAGAGAGAAAAGGAAGGUGUGAGAAGUAUCCUUUCAGAAAUGGUCACCAAGAGAGAAUGCACAGAAAAUGAAUGGAAGCAGCAGUUUGAACUGGACAAACGAGAGCUUGAUAAAGUGAAAGAAGAUCUGAGACACGACAGAGAAGAUCUGGAGAGAGAAAGUGAGGUGUUGAAUAAAGAGAAAAUGGAUUUGAAGGUGUUGAUGUCUGACAUCAAGAAACAAUUUGAAAUAUUGGAAGAAAAGAAACAAAAUAUAAAAGAAGAACGAGACUCAAUGGAAAUCAUAAAGCUUGAACUGCUCAAUAAGAUGGAACAUGUAAACAGGCUGUUACAUGAGACAAAUGAAGAAAAAGCCAAGAUUAAAAAUUGUAUCCUUCAGGUUCAAAUGGAAAAAGAAAGACUUGAAGACAUUUUAAGCAAGAUUUUCUUAACACAUAAUGAAGAAAAAGUCAAGGAAGAUGACCUCAGAAGACAAACAAAAGAAGUGGAAAUCAUGAAAAAGGAAUUACAGAGUGAAAGAGCAAAAGUGGAGAGUCUGAUGAGGAAUCUGAAGAAGAAGCAAGAAGAGCUUGAACGUGCAAAGGGAAUCAUGAGUGAAGAAAAAGAAGAGAUGAAAGAGAUGAAGACUGACAUUGCCAAAGAACAAGAACUGUUGUUGAAGGAAAGGAGAAAUGUGGAAGAACAGCAGUCUGGGAUGGAAAUGAGGGGAGACCAAGUCAUGGAUGAAAUGAAAUCACUAGAGAUUCUGAAAGUGAAACUAAUUGCGAGGAAAUCCCUGAAAGGUGAACUGUCUGAUGUACAACCCAGAGAGGACAUCCUCAGUAGUGUUACAAUCUCUACAAGAAACCUUAUAGGAAAACUAAAUAGACUGAUUCAUCAAGACUUGCCGACAUAUAUUAAGAGAGUAGAGGGGGAAAAUGAAAAAAUAUUACAAGUGAUCUCCACAUAUGAACAAAAUUGGGUCAGAAUUUAUAAGCAGAAAAUUAAAAUUACUGCAGAUUAUGACAAGAUACAACAACAAAAGAAACAUGUGUUUAAGACAACAUUUGACAAAGCAAUCCAAACUGAGGAUGUUGUAAAACAAUGCUUACAUGAGCAUCAGGAUGAAGAGACCAAUGAACAUGAAUUUAAGCAGAGGAUGAAGGAUGUUGCAGUUAAUCUUGAAGGAAGCAAAAGAUACUUGACACCUGACAAGGAAGGUCUGCUGUUAGUAGGAGAAGGUGAAGAAUUUGGAAAUGUCAAGAAAACAAAUCUUGCAACGUUGUCCAUCUUGUCAGCAGAGGAAGAUGACUUCACACAGAAGGGAAUUUUAAAAACUGAGUUUUUGAAACAAAUCUGGAAGGACACUAGAAUAGAACGAAAUGAAAUAAAUCAGAUGAAGCUCAGAGGUCAAGAAAUGAGAAACAAUAUGGAUAAAAGAGUAAAGGUGAUCAAUCAUUUUGUUAGGAGAUCAAUAUUUCAGAAAGAAAAGACAUCAGUUGAGAAAACAAGAAAAAUGUUGGAACAUGGGCAAAGUAAUACGUUUUUAUCUGUAAGUGGCAGGGAUGGAGAACACAAAUCACUUGAUGAAAAAUAUACCGAGCUCCAACAACUUAAGGUCCGCAUGCUUAGUGAGAUUGAGAAAUUCUACAUACAAAACAAAGCGUCUAAGACACUGACAACUAGCAACAAAGCUAAUCAAACAGUUCAACUAGAUUCUCCAAAUAUCUAUCAAGAGCAAAUAAAGGUAGAAGAAUCUGAAGCAGCACCAGAGAGAUCUCCUGGACUCCUCAGUCAGCUCAGACUUUCCUGUUAUCGCUGUUGCUCCCGUUAUUGUGCCUACUGCAAGCAAGGAUGUAUAAAGAAAAAAUGAGAGGCAAGAAAAGUGCUACAUAAAAAUCAGUCCAUUUACCUUUUGUUUUACUUUUUAGUUAUAUUAAUAUGUGUGUAUUUGGAAAAUGUGUUUUUCCCGUUAAUCAUAUUAACCUAACAACGUAAGAGUACCAGUCUGAUGUCAAUCAUCUAAUUUUUAAACAACUAGUUAUGUAAUGUAAAAGUAUUCCUUUAACAUGUUAUUUUUUUCACAAAUGCAAAAUAUUAAAGUUUAACAGAUAAUCUUAACAUUUCUAAUUACAUUUUUAUGCUGAUUUCUAAUUAAUCUUCUUUCAACAUAUUUAUUCUGUUGUCUUGUGUUAGAAUACAGAAGCACAAAGAAUACAGUAAAAUCAAAACUAACAAGAAUAUUUGAAAACUGUGACUCCAUAUAUAUUCAUAUUUAAAUGAAAGAAAAAUGCAUGUUUAACAUAAAUUUGAUCCCUAAAUAAAUCUUUUUCCAAAACCAUUCACAUCACUGCAAUAUUUUUCUUUUGGUAAAUUUCGAAUUAUAUAAGAACCC
ensembl:lncRNA